UCGGGUGUUUGCACAGGUCAACGGUUUGUGGUGCAUCGAUCUGGGGGACCGAAGGUCCCGAGUUCAAAUCUCGGCAGCCCGAC
rnacentral:tRNA from 1 species